UACGAAGGGGGCUAGCGUUGCUCGGAAUCACUGGGCGUAAAGGGUGCGUAGGCGGGUUCUUAAGUCAGGGGUGAAAUCCUGGAGCUCAACUCCAGAACUGCCUUUGAUACUGAGAGUCUUGAGUUCGGGAGAGGUGAGUGGAACUGCGAGUGUAGAGGUGAAAUUCGUAGAUAUUCGCAAGAACACCAGUGGCGAAGGCGGCUCACUGGCCCGAUACUGACGCUGAAGCACGAAAGCGUGGGGAGCAAACA
rnacentral:rRNA from 1 species